rnacentral:rRNA from 1 species
UACGUAGGUGGCAAGCGUUGUCCGGAAUUAUUGGGCGUAAAGCGCGCGCAGGUGGUUCCUUAAGUCUGAUGUGAAAGCCCACGGCUCAACCGUGGAGGGUCAUUGGAAACUGGGGAACUUGAGUGCAGAAGAGGAGAGUGGAAUUCCAAGUGUAGCGGUGAAAUGCGUAGAGAUUUGGAGGAACACCAGUGGCGAAGGCGACUUUCUGGUCUGUAACUGACACUGAGGCGCGAAAGCGUGGGGAGCAAACAGG